UCGAGCUACGACAUGCUCCGCCCAGAGCAAGCAACAGGCACGUACACCCACACGAGAGCAGACGGAAGGAGAAGGAGGAAGAGAAACAGACUGAAAACAAAACACGGCGGCAGAUGUCGGCAUGCUCUUCCUGCACGAUCAGGAUCCGACGAACCCCGAGAGAGAAGACACCGAUAUGCACGCAGUUAAGAAUCAGGGUUGCGUAACACACAGCACCAGGCCCAGGACACGAUGACGCAAGUCUGCACAGCCACGGAAUAAUUAUUCGAUUCAUUCAGACUGAGUUUUGUCCAGUCACUCCUCUUCGUAAGCUGCAGCAUUGUUGGAGGGAGCCUGAGAACAGCGACUGCUUAAGACCUGAAUCUUAUUUGACACGCAGGACCAGAGGUGUGAAACUUGCUGCUGGUGUGUAAAGCCCAGCUGUGUGUCUGAAAACCAGCAGGUCAGCGGGUUCAUCCAUCCCACUGUCCAGUACUGAGGGAUUCAGCUUGCAUUCAGCCACACAUGCCUUUUUUUUUAUUUAUUUAUUUUUUAGGGGGGAAAUGGACCUACCAUCUGGUGGUGGUGACUGGGGAUGUUGGCCUCCUGGAAGAAGGAGCUUAAGGCCGUCUGCAGA